GACGAACGCUGGCGGCGUGCUUAACACAUGCAAGUCGAACGGAAAGGCCCUGCUUUUGUGGGGUGCUCGAGUGGCGAACGGGUGAGUAACACGUGAGUAACCUGCCCUUGACUUUGGGAUAACUUCAGGAAACUGGGGCUAAUACCGGAUAGGAGCUCCUGCUGCAUGGUGGGGGUUGGAAAGUUUCGGCGGUUGGGGAUGGACUCGCGGCUUAUCAGCUUGUUGGUGGGGUAGUGGCUUACCAAGGCUUUGACGGGUAGCCGGCCUGAGAGGGUGACCGGCAACAUUGGGAAUGAGAAACGGCCCAGACUCAUACGGGAGGCAGAAGUGGGGAAUAUUGCACAAUGAGCGGAAGCCUGAUGCAGCAACGCCGCGUGCGGGAUGACGGCCUUCGGGUUGUAAACCGCUUUAGCCUGUGACGAAGAGUGAGUGACGGUAAUGGGUAAAGAAGCACCGGAUAACUACGUG
rnacentral:rRNA from 1 species